rnacentral:tRNA from 2 species
CAAAUUAUUCAGUAGUGAUAAAUUUUUUUUACAAAAUUAUUAAUAUGUUGUGCAAUUCAACUUAAUUUGA